rnacentral:rRNA from 1 species
CAGCAGUGGGGAAUUUUGGACAAUGGGCGCAAGCCUGAUCCAGCCAUUCCGCGUGAGUGAAGAAGGCCUUCGGGUUGCAAAGCUCUUUUGUCAGGGAAGAAACACCGGCUCUAACACAGUCCGGGAAUGCCGGUACCUGAAGAAUAAGCACCGGCCAACUACGUG